rnacentral:tRNA from 1 species
GGUGGCUCAGUGGUAGAGCACUUGCCUUGCAUGCAGGAGGCCCUGGGUUCGAUUCCUCAGUACCA